UUCGAGCAGUUUGGUUUGUAAACGAAAAAAACGGCGUGUAAAUGUGUUGUUGCCGUUGAAAUAUCUGUGUUGUAAAUGAAGCAAAAGAAAAAGGCGCAGCAGCGCAACGCGGCGUUAAACAGUUAAAAACUUGAAACAAAAACAAAACAACUACAAAAUUAAAACAACGCAAUAAGAAAUUGGUGAAGAAAUAUUAUAGUAAAUACAUAAACGUUAAUAUAUAAACGUUUAAACAGUUUUAUCCAAAGAAAUAUAGUAACACAAAAUUCUAAAGCGUGAAUACUUUCGACAAAACAAGAAAAAUGCUAACUAAAUCUAUAAUGCUUAUUAAAUGUCUGUAAAAAAGUUCAUAAAUUUCUGAAAAUUAUAAUAAAUAAACAUUAAAGAAAUAUCUAUGUAUUUAUAAAAUAU